rnacentral:rRNA from 1 species
GAUAUGUGAAUACAUAGCAUAUCAGAAGGCACACCCGGAGAACUGAAACAUCUUAGUACCCGGAGGAAGAGAAAGAAAAUUCGAUUCCCUUAGUAGCGGCGAGCGAAACGGGAAGAGCCCAAACCAACAAGCUUGCUUGUUGGGGUUGUAGGACACUCUAUACGGAGUUACAAAGGACGACAUUAGACGAAUCAUCUGGAAAGAUGAAUCAAAGAAGGUAAUAAUCCUGUAGUCGAAAAUGUUGUCUCUCUUGAGUGGAUCCUGAGUACGACGGAGCACGUGAAAUUCCGUCGGAAUCUGGGAGGACCAUCUCCUAAGGCUAAAUACUCUCUAGUGACCGAUAGUGAACCAGUACCGUGAGGGAAAGGUGAAAAGCACCCCGGAAGGGGAGUGAAAUAGAACCUGAAACCGUGUGCUUACAAGUAGUCAGAGCCCGUUAAUGGGUGAUGGCGUGCCUUUUGUAGAAUGAACCGGCGAGUUACGAUUUGAUGCAAGGUUAAGCAGUAAAUGUGGAGCCGUAGCGAAAGCGAGUCUGAAUAGGGCGUUUAGUA